AUGCACUGAUUAUAUUAUGUGGGUUGCCAUUUAUUGGCAUUCUGCUCUCAAUUUGGUGCAAGAGAAACCUCAGUAUGCAGAAGGGUUGAACUAAGUAGUUUUGUUCCCUCUCGAGUACUGAGCACAGAA